UAAGCUAUACACCGAAAUUGCGGAUUUGCAGUUGAAAGACACUGUAAGUGGUAGAGGAGCAUUCUGUAGUAGGACGAAGCAGUACCGAAAGGAGCUGUGGACGAGGCAGAAGAGAGAAUGCUGGAAUAAGUAGCGAGAGGAUGGUGAGAAUCCAUCCCGUCGAAAAUCUAAGGUUUCCUAGGGAAGGUUCGUCCGCCUAGGGUAAGUCGGGACCUAAGGAGAGGCCAAAAGGCGUAUCUGAUGGACAGCAGGUUGAAAUUCCUGCACUAUAGCUAUACUUAAAAGAUGCAAGGGACGCAGAAGUGGAAGAUAACCAUGGAAGAGGAAAGACAUGGCCCGCAAGGGGGAGUGAAACAAUAAGUAACGAAGUAUCAAGAAGCACGCUGACGAGAAAAGCUUGUAGAGAUUGUAUAGAAAUACCCGUACCGCAAACCGACACAGGUAGAUGAGGAGAGGAUCCUAAGACGAGCGGGAGAAGCAUUGUUAAGGAACUCGGCAAAUUAACCCCGUAACUUCGGAAUAAGGGGUACUGAUGUAACAGUCAGUCGCAGAGAAAAGGCCCAAGCAACUGUUUAACAAAAACAUAGGUUUCUGCUAAAUCGAAAGAUGAAGUAUAGGAGCUGACGCCUGCCCAGUGCUGGAAGGUUAAGGGAAGAGGUUAGAUUAUAUCAAAGCUUCGAACUGAAGCCCCAGUGAACGGCGGCCGUAACUAUAACGGUCCUAAGGUAGCGAAAUUCCUUGUCAGGUAAGUUCUGACCCGCACGAAAGGCGUAAUGAUUUGGGCACUGUCUCGACAAUGUCCCCGGCGAAAUUGUAGUACUAGUGAAGAUGCUAGUUACCUGCGAUAAGACAGAAAGACCCCAUGGAGCUUUACUGCAGUUUGAUACUGGGUUUCGAUGAUUUAUGUACAGGAUAGUUGGGAGGCUAUGAGUAAGAGGCGUCAGCUUCUUAGGAGCCAACGUUGGGAUACCAACCUUAAGUUAUUGAAAUUCUAACCUUUGAUCAUAAACUGGUCAGGGGACAAUGUCAGACGGGCAGUUUGACUGGGGCGGUCGCCUCCUAAAGAGUAACGGAGGCGUCCAAAGGUUCCCUCAGCGCGGACAGAAAUCGCGCGAAAGAGUGCAAAGGCAGAAGGGAGCUUAACUGAGAGACAGACAUGUCGACCAGAUACGAAAGUAGGGCUUAGUGAUCCGGUGGAAUUUAAGUGGGAAUGCCAUCGCUCA
rnacentral:rRNA from 1 species